rnacentral:rRNA from 1 species
CCGGCGAGGGGAGUGAAAAAGAACCUGAAACCGUGUACGUACAAGCAGUGGGAGCACCCUUUGGGGUGUGACUGCGUACCUUUUGUAUAAUGGGUCAGCGACUUAUAUUCUGUAGCAAGGUUAACCGAAUAGGGGAGCCGGAGGGAAACCGAGUCUUAACCGGGCGUUAAGUUGCAGGGUAUAGACCCGAAACCCGGUGAUCUAGCCAUGGGCAGGUUGAAGGUUGGGUAACACUAACUGGAGGACCGAACCGACUAAUGUUGAAAAA